CAAACAGCUUCCUGGCUGGUACCCAUGAUAACAAUUGAGCUGAACCUGGGGACCCCUGGUUGGGGAACAGCUGUGACUGUCACCCUCUCAGGCUUUGUCUCAUCCUUCAUUCUGAAUGAGAUGGCAGUGUUCUCCUCUGGGGCCUGAUCCACCUCUACACCAGCCCAGGAAGCCCCAUCUGUGCCUGCCCUCAGGUGGUCCACCAGUCUCCCCCUUUGGUCCCCUUCCAGUCUCUUCCCCCUUUCUAUCCCAAUCACCAAUAGAAAUGCUAACAUCCCUGCCUGGAAGCCAGACUAGCCCACUAAAGCUCCCCUGUAAAUGGGGGCUCCAUUAGUUCUGCUGCCGAGACUAAUAAAGAUUUGGUUGGCUCUAGCA
rnacentral:sRNA from 1 species